AGGAAUGACUGCAUUCUGUGACUGAGAACAAGGCAAUCCAUUUACCCAGACUCCAUCUGUAGAUGGGAAAACACCCUUGGUUGGUGCCAUUGAUGAAAAUGGUGGGAAAAAGCCACUUCCACUAUGAAAAUCAUGUCCUAUGGUAGAAGAUGAACACUUAUUCAUUGAUGCUCCUAUUGAAGAUUUAUUAUGCUGGUUCUGA
rnacentral:misc_RNA from 1 species